rnacentral:rRNA from 1 species
AGAUUGAACGCUGGCGGCAUGCCUAACACAUGCAAGUCGAACGGGAGUAGCAAUACUCUAGUGGCGGACGGGUGAGGAAUACGUGGGAAUUUGCCCUUAAGUGGGGGAUAACCCGGGGAAACCCGGAUUAAUACCGCAUGACCUCGAAAGAGCAAAGUGGGGGAUCGCAAGACCUCACGCUUUUGGAGAAGCCUACGUCGGAUUAGCUAGUUGGUGAGGUAAUGGCUCACCAAGGCGACGAUCCGUAACUGGUCUGAGAGGAUGAUCAGUCACACCGGAACUGAGACACGGUCCGGACUCCUACGGGAGCAGCAGGUGGGAAUAGUUGGACAAGUGGGCGCAAGCCUGAUCCAGCAAUGCCGCGUGUGUGAAGGAAGGCCGUUCGGUUAGUAAGCUAACGUUUAAGACGUAGGAAA